rnacentral:rRNA from 1 species
CUAUACAUGACUCUGCGCAUAUCAAUAAGCGGAGGAAAAGAAACUAACAAGGAUUCCCUUAGUAACGGCGAGUGAAGCGGGAAGAGCUCAAAUUUGAAAUCUUCAAGGUUCUACCUUGACGAAUUGUAGUUUAUAGAAGUGUUUUCUGUUAGUAGAGUGGCAAAAGUUCUUUGGAAUAGGACAUCAUAGAGGGUGAGAAUCCCGUAUUUGUACAGUUACUUUCUAGCUGUGUGAUACACUUUCAACGAGUCGGAUUGUUUGGGAAUGCAGUCCAAAAUGGGUGGUAAAUUUCAUCUAAAGCUAAAUAUUGGCGAGAGACCGAUAGCGAACAAGUACCGUGAGGGAAAGAUGAAAAGAACUUUGAAAAGAGAGUUAAACAGUACGUGAAAUUGUCAAAAGGGAAGCGUUUGACACCAGUGUUGUUUUUCCGAAAAUCAAUUACGAAUGUUUUAUUUUUGAGAAGUUAUGACUUCAUCGGCUUGCUCCUUUCUUUAUGGAACUUUCUUAAUGCACUUUUCGGUUAACAAGUCAACAUCAAUUUCUUUUGUUGUAAAAGAGUAUGAGGAAGGUGGCUUUCUUUUCGGAGAAAGUGUUUAUAGCCUUGUACCUCUGCAAUCGGAGAGAUUGAGGUCUGCAGCGCAGAUCCUUCGGGGUUAGAUACAUUUGUGCUAAGUUAUAGCUUUUUCAUAGACAACUUGUUGACUAUGUUAGUCUUGUAGCUUACUCGCUUAUGCUAUUUUACCUACGCUUAGGAUGUUGAUAUGCAUGACUGAUAU